CGUGUGAUUGAACGGUGUACCAUAAAUGGUAACAGGAAUCAAUGUGGAUCACACAGCGGGAGCAUUGAACACCACUCUUAUAUCGUGGAAGCAUGGCUGGUUCUCCCUGGCAACCUCAUCUAGCUGUCCAGAAAUCAGAGGAAGCAAACCGCACGCACGCUCAAUGAAACAGUGACUGCAAAUGCUCAGCUUCAGACUGUGGGAUGGGAGGGAGAUAG